AUACGAAGGGGGCAAGCGUUGUUCGGAAUAACUGGGCGUAAAGCGCACGUAGGCGGAAUGUUAAGUUAGAGGUGGAAUCCCAGGGCUCAACCCUGGAACGGCCUUUAAUACUGGCAAUCUAGAGACCGAGAGAGGUGAGUGGAAUUCCGAGUGUAGAGGUGAAAUUCGUAGAUAUUCGGAGGAACACCAGUGGCGAAGGCGGCUCACUGGCUCGGUACUGACGCUGAGGUGCGAAAGCGUGGGGAGCAAACAGGAUUAGAAACCCUAGUAGUCC
rnacentral:rRNA from 1 species